UACGUAAGUGGCGAGCGUUAUCCGGAAUUACUGGGCGUAAAGAGCUCGUAGGCGGUUUGUCGCGUCUGCCGUGAAAGUCCGGGGCUCAACUCCGGAUCUGCGGUGGGUACGGGCAGACUAGAGUGAUGUAGGGGAGACUGGAAUUCCUGGUGUAGCGGUGAAAUGCGCAGAUAUCAGGAGGAACACCGAUGGCGAAGGCAGGUCUCUGGGCAUUAACUGACGCUGAGGAGCGAAAGCAUGGGGAGCGAACAGG
rnacentral:rRNA from 1 species